rnacentral:misc_RNA from 1 species
GUAGGUGAACCUGCGGAAGGAUCAUUACCAAAUCCAAAACUUUAUCAACACCUUAUGUGCACUGAGAAUGGUUCCGUUCCCUGCCAACCGCUUAUUGGCGCAGGGGGUGUGCAUGCUUUGCUGCAUGCACACUUUCUGUUUGAGCGGGCAGGCGGGGAAUGUAUUUUUCAACACCUUUUCAACCACUUUUUCCCAUUAACAACAUGCUGAAAGCAAAAACAAAAAACGAAACAUGAGACAACUUUUAACG